rnacentral:rRNA from 1 species
CCUACGGGAGGCAGCAGUGGGGAAUAUUGGGCAAUGGGCGCAAGCCUGACCCAGCAACGCCGCGUGAGGGAAGAAGGCCCUCGGGUUGUAAACUUCUUUUAUUCAGGACGAAACGAAUGACAGUACCGAAUGAAUAAGCCACGGGUAACUACAUGCCAGCAGCCGCGGUAAUACGUAGGUGGCAAGCGGUAUCCGGAUUUACUUGUUGUAAAGGGCGGGUAGGCGGGAGAGCAAGUCAGACGUGAAAUUCCAGGGCUCAACCCUGGAACUGCGUUUGAACCGGUUCGUCUUGAGUGAUGGAGAGGCAGGCGGAAUGCGGGGUGUAGCGGUGAAAUGCGUAGAUAUACGGAGGAACACCAGUUGCGAAGGCGGCCUGCCGGACAUUAACUGACGCUGAGGCGCGAAAGCGUGGGGAGCAAACAGGAUUAGAUACCCCAGUAGUC